rnacentral:misc_RNA from 1 species
GUAACAAGGUUUCCGUAGGUGAACCUGCGGAAGGAUCAUUAACGCGCCGUGGGGGGUCGGAUCCCUUAACCGGGAACCCCGGCCCUCUCACCUGGCCACCCUUGUCUAUCUUACCUGUUGCUUCGGCGGGCCUGCAGCGAUGCUGCCGGGGGAGUCUGCUCCCCGGGCUCGUGCCCGCCGAGGACACCACAAGAACCUCUGGUGAACGAUUGACGUCUGAAAUGAUAACUAUAAUCAGUUAAAACUUUCAACAACGGAUCUCUUGGUUCCGACAUCGAUGAAGAACGCAGCGAAAUGCGAUAAGUAAUGUGAAUUGCAGAAUUCCGUGAAUCAUCGAAUCUUUGAACGCACAUUGCGCCCUCUGGUAUUCCGGGGGGCAUGCCUGUCCGAGCGUCAUUGCAACCCUCAAGCGCGGCUUGUGUGUUGGGCCUUCGUCCCCCGUGGACGUGCCCGAAAUGCAGCGGCGGCGUCGUGUUCCGGUGCCCGAGCGUAUGGGGCUUUGUCACCCGCUCUAGAGGCCCGGCCGGCUCCGGCCCAUCUCAACUUCAGAGGGAGAGCGGUCUUCGGAUCGGUCUCCCCAACCAGGUUGACCUCGGAUCAGGUAGGGAUACCCGCUGAACUUAAGCAUAUC